AUUAACCAACCAACAUCCCUGUCUGGAACCAGUUCCCCAAAACACUCCUGAAGCUCUGAUUAAAGUUAUGAGAGAUUCAUGGAGCUAUGAAGCAAGUGAUCGUCCAGAUUUCAUAGAAAUUACAGAUAGGGUAAAGAAUCUUGGUAUUGAACCAACUUAUGCAUCACUUGGACUCUAUUUCGGAAAGAAAUUACAGAUAGGGUAGAUAUACCUGGCAU